GACGAACGCUGGCGGCGUGCUUAACACAUGCAAGUCGAACGGAAAGGCCCUGCUUUUGUGGGGUGCUCGAGUGGCGAACGGGUGAGUAACACGUGAGUAACCUGCCCUUGACUUUGGGAUAACUUCAGGAAACUGGGGCUAAUACCGGAUAGGAGCUCCUGCUGCAUGGUGGGGGUUGGAAAGUUUCGGCGGUUGGGGAUGGACUCGCGGCUUAUCAGCUUGUUGGUGGGGUAGUGGCUUACCAAGGCUUUGACGGGUAGCCGGCCUGAGAGGGUGACCGGCCACAUUGGGACUGAGAUACGGCCCAGACUACUACGGGAGGCAGCAGUGGGGAAUAUUGCACAAUGGGCGGAAGCCUGAUGCAGAAACGCCGCGUGCGGGAUGACGGCCUUCGGGUUGUAAACCGAUUUCGCCUGUGACGAAGCGUGAGUGACGGUAAUGGGUAAAGAAGCACCGGCUAACUACGUG
rnacentral:rRNA from 1 species